UGGAGUUACUAACAGACUAUACAGGUAGUGAGUGGAGUUACUAACAGACUAUACAGCUACAUGUAGUGAGUGGAGUUACUAACAGACUAUACAGGUAGUGAGUGGAGUUACUAACAGACUAUACAGCUACAUGUAGUGAGUGGAGUUACUAACAGACUAUACAGGUAGUGAGUGGAGUUACUAACAGACUAUACAGCUACAUGUAGUGAGUGGAGUUACUAACAGACUAUACAGGUAGUGAGUGGAGUUAAACAGACUAUACAGGUAGUGAGUGGAGUUACUAACAGACUAUACAGGUAGUGAGUGGAGUUACUAACAGACUAUACAGCUACAGGUAGUGAGUGGAGUUACUAACAGACUAUACAGGUAGUGAGUGGAGUUACUAACAGACUAUACAGGUAGUGAGUGGAGUUACUAACAGACUAUACAGCUACAGGUAGUGAGUGGAGUUACUAACAGACUAUACAGGUAGUGAGUGGAGUUAAAC